rnacentral:rRNA from 1 species
ACUCCUACGGGAGGCAGCAGUGGGAGUAUUGCAUCAAUGGGAAACCGGACAUGCAGCCAUGCCGCGUGUGUGAAGAAGGCCUUCGGGUUGUAAAGCACUUUCAGUAGGGAGGAAGGUAGUGUAGUUAACACCUGCAUUAUUUGACGUUACUUACAGAAGAAGCACCGGCUAACUCCGUGCCAGCAGCCGCGGUAAUACGGAGGGUGCGAGCGUUAAUCGGAAUUACUGGG